GACAGAGGGUGCAAACGUUGUUCGGAAUUACUGGGCGUAAAGCGCGUGUAGGCGGCCCUGCAAGUCGGAUGUGAAAUCCCACGGCUCAACCGUGGAAGUGCAUUCGAAACUGCAGGGCUAGAGUCCUGGAGAGGAAGGUGGAAUGCUUGGUGUAGAGGUGAAAUUCGUAGAUAUCAAGCGGAACACCGGUGGCGAAGGCGGCCUUCUGGACAGUGACUGACGCUGAGACGCGAAAGUGUGGGGAGCAAACAGG
rnacentral:rRNA from 1 species